rnacentral:rRNA from 1 species
GGAAUAACUGUUUCGAUAAAACUAAAAAGAAAUUUCUUAAUAGGUGAAAAUUCCUUUAAUUAAUAUAAUAGACGAGAAGACCCUAAGAAUUAUAUAUUAAAAUUGUAAAUUUAUAAUAAAAUUUUUGUUGGGGCAACAGAUUUGGUAAAAUCAAUAAUCUUUAAAAUUUACAUACUAAGUAUAUUUAAUAGGAAUUUAAUUACCUUAGGGAUAACAGCAUUAUUAAUAUAUUAGAUUGUGACCUCGAUGUUGGACUAGGGACUUUUAAAGUAAGCCAUUUUAAAAGAUCGUUCUGUUCGAACAUAGAAC